AUGUUAUUGGUUGUAAUGCUCACCACUGUAAAAAAAAAAAAAAAAAUUUUGCCCCAAUAUGCACAGUUAAUUAUUCAUUUAUUUAUCACAAGUAAUCAUUGCCAAAAAAAAAAAAAACCCUGCUAUCACACAUCGCAGAAUUUCAUCAUAUCGUGCAGGACUAUUAGAAAGGCAAAAUCAGUGCAAAUCAUUGGAUAUGUCUGCUAUAAUGAUUUAAAAAGAAAGUUGAUUGAUCUCCUGUUAUUCAAUUUCAGCACUAAUAGAGGAUACUACAUUUCUUUACCAGGAUCCAGCAGUUUUGGGCAGGCCAAACUUUUGGAAUUGGACUUCACUUGGACUCGAACCUCUUUGGACUUGGUCUCGACUAGUCCUGGUCUUGGAUUUGUCUUGGACUCGACAAAGCUGGACUUGACUACAGCUCUAUGAGCAGAUUUCUUUAUUUCUUUCAUUUUGCAUUCUAGAGGGUUAUAGACCCUUUCAGGUGACUGCAAAUCCUGUAUUAUGUUGAAGUACUUUUCAGUCUUGGUCAGUUGCACAUCAAUCAGGUAAUCCAAUCUACUGUUUCUGAUGCCGCGUUCCAGGCAACCCGUAACCCAUGUUUUUCCAACCUUCUACCCAUGAAAGUGCACUGGAACGGCAGUCAAACUUGUAACUUCCCACCCGUGAACUCGUACUAGAUCGAUGUACUCCCAGUUCCAAGCUCUGACGUCACAUAAUCCACGAAACAACUAUGGCAGCCCCUACGGAUAAUAUUGCCUACAGAUGCGGUGUUUAUGCAAGUGGUACACGCUGAGUAAUAGACUUUAGGAAUAAUUGCAAUAAAUUUGAUAAUUUAGCUACAAUUCCUUGCGUUCAGGCAGUUUGACGUAACUUGCCUGGAACUCUACAAAGUCGUGAGUUGUGGUUUGAAGUCGUGAUUUACAGGCUCAAAAACCUGCCUGGAACGCAGCAUGAUACCACAGAGGAACAGGUAUUUUAAACAGUGGAAGAAACUAGACAGAAAGAAAAGCAGAGAGAUUGAGGUUGCAUAAGGAGCAUGGUUGGAACAAUUAUAAUGUAUCCUAUUAAUGUCGGCAGGAUUCAUUGAGAUUAACAAGCAAAUCAAAAGUUGAACAAAUAAUUAGAUUAAAUGAUGUUUUAUUAACAAGGUUCAGGAGGAGCACGUCAGAUACUUAACCUAAUUAGCACAGGUGGAGCUCACUUAAGAUAAUCAACACUAGGGUAUAAAUACAGCUGACUAACCCCUAUCCAUUGACGGUUUACCAGCAUCCCCCCUCCACCCCAUCUCCUCCACUUAGAGUUCAUUUUACACUUAUGUAGGGGGGGGGUACUCUAGGUUCGGGCCAUUCCCGAGCUCGGAGCCCUUCCCCGGACAGCACGCCAAAUAUGCAUUAUAUACUUCAGCUAAUUAUAUGUAAGUGUGAACUCGUGAACUUAAAAGUAUGUUUUCUGUUGACAAUUGUGGUCUAGAUGAAAAUGGCUGACAAUUGGGAGAAGUAGAAAGAUAAGGACUACAACAAUACAAAUAAAUUAAACAACACUUAAGACAUAAUGCUAGCUUUCAGCUAGACCACUAAUAAACAGGGAAGAGAACAUGCAUGAAAGUGCCAUAUACCGUUCUGUUAGAUUGUUUGUUUAGAGUGUCACACGAUCCUUCAGAAAUCAUUCUAAUAUGCUGAUUUAUUAUAGUUGAAUAAUGACUAUAAUAAAUAAUGAUUUAUUAUAGUUGAAUAAUGAAUAAUUAGUUGAAUAAUGACUUAAAUGAAUGACUACUAGUAACUAAACUAGUAACUUAUUUGGGUUCCCAAAUCUAAAAUAUAUAUAUAUAAAAUAUAUAUAUAAAUAUAUAAAGCCUAUAAAACACAUUCAUAGAUGGAUACUUUUCUGAUGUCUGGACU
ensembl:lncRNA